rnacentral:rRNA from 1 species
CGGGUGAGUAACGCGUGGGCAACCUGGCCUGUACAGGGGGAUAACACUUAGAAAUAGGUGCUAAUACCGCAUAAGCGCACAGAGCCGCAUGGCUCAGUGUGAAAAACUCCGGUGGUGUAAGAUGGAUCCGCGUCUGAUUAGCUGGUUGGCGGGGUAGAAGCCCACCAAGGCGACGAUCAGUAGCCGGCCUGAGAGGGUGAACGGCCACAUUGGGACUGAGACACGGCCCAAACUCCUACGGAAGGCAGCAG